UUGAAAAUCUUUUACCCUAAUAAAAGAACUACAUAUCCCAAGAGCCCACUGACUUCCUGUCAUUAUGUACUUUCUGUAGACAGAGGAUAAAGGACCUGGGCUUUGGCAGUUCCUCCUCUCUGAUGUAGAAUCAGCAGUGAUGGUGGAGAAUGGCUUUCAUAUUGGAAAUGAUGGAAUGAAAAUUACUAAUAAGAAGUUGAUACCACCUAGCUGCCUUGGAUGAAACCAAAGCAAUUGGGUUCAGAUGAAUUACAAACUUGGGUCCUUAAAGAACUGGAAGAUGUGAUUGCCCGGUGCUCUUUCUACUGUAUCACCAUGAGAUGUCUUUUGAACCCUUCAUGAGCAUCCCAGAAGCAUCAGUGUCACAGGCUGAGGACAAACUGGAAGUGUUGGAGAAAGAUGGAUUUCAAGUUCUAUGAGAAGUACAGCUGAAAAGCUGUACCAUACUUAAGGAGAAGAUUUCCAGAUCUUCCAAGAUACCCCUUUUGCCACAUGCACUCCAAACUUGAGCCCAUUUUCCUUGGACUCCAUAUAAACUGGAGGAAAGUCCCCAUAGGCUUUGGGGGGAGGGGUAUUUUAUACUGACUGACUUAAAUAGCCA
rnacentral:lncRNA from 1 species